UACGUAGGGUGCGAGCGUUGUCCGGAAUUACUGGGCGUAAAGAGCUCGUAGGUGGUUUGUCGCGUUGUUCGUGAAAACUCACAGCUCAACUGUGGGCGUGCGGGCGAUACGGGCAGACUGGAGUACUGCAGGGGAGACUGGAAUUCCUGGUGUAGCGGUGGAAUGCGCAGAUAUCAGGAGGAACACCGGUGGCGAAGGCGGGUCUCUGGGCAGUAACUGACGCUGAGGCACGAAGGCGUGGGGAGCAAACAGG
rnacentral:rRNA from 1 species